GUCAGAAAGACUAAAUUAGGUCAUAAUAAUGGCUGCUGCCAGUGUCUCAGUCCCUGGAGGGGUGGGCCCGGCUGCCUCCUGCCUCUCCAAGAUGUCCUUAAGCUUAGCCUUUCACUGUCUUUUGUGUGGAUUGUUGCAUCAUUACUAGCUCACCUUUCCCCAGUAACCACAACAAUCAAAUCAGACUAGAAAGAAGGGAUGUAGACUGUUUUAUAAUUGACCUGGACUAACUGAAGACACAUAUUGGACAAUGAAAGUGUUCUGCAUCCUCCUUGGAUAUACUGCUUGGCUGUCUCCAUCCCAUAUUUGAGUGAUCCCCUGAAAGCCACGCUUGCUUUGCUCAGGACAGAUUUCUCAGCUUCUUUAGAUCUAGGCCUUUUACAAAGCUACCAAGUAAAAUGCAACUUAGAACUUAUGAGUCAGUUUGUGCCAGUUGCGGUCUUAAAG
rnacentral:lncRNA from 1 species